rnacentral:rRNA from 1 species
UACAUGCAAGUCGAGCGCAGGAAGCAGGCAGAUCCCCUUCGGGGGUGAUGCCUGUGGAAUGAGCGGCGGACGGGUGAGUAACACGUGGGCAACCUGCCUGUAAGAUCGGAAUAACUCCGGGAAACCGGGGCUAAUGCCGGGUAAUCCUUUUUUUCGCAUGAGAGAGAGGUAAAAGAUGGCCUUUGGCUAUCACUUACAGAUGGGCCCGCGGCGCAUUAGCUAGUUGGUGAGGUAAUAGCUCACCAAGGCGACGAUGCGUAGCCGACCUGAGAGGGUGAUCGGCCACACUGGGACUGAGACACGGCCCAGACUCCUACGGGAGGCAGCAGUAGGGAAUCUUCCGCAAUGGACGAAAGUCUGACGGAGCAACGCCGCGUGAACGAUGAAGGUCUUCGGAUCGUAAAGUUCUGUUGUUAGGGAAGAACAAGUACCGUGCGAAUAGAGCGGUACCUUGACGGUACCUAACGAGGAAGCCCCGGCUAACUACGUGCCAGCAGCCGCGGUAAUACGUAGGGGGCAAGCGUUGUCCGGAAUUAUUGGGCGUAAAGCGCGCGCAGGCGGUUUCUUAAGUCUGAUGUGAAAGCCCACGGCUCAACCGUGGAGGGUCAUUGGAAACUGGGGAA